rnacentral:rRNA from 1 species
GACAAACGCUGGCGGCGUGCAUAAAACAUGCAAGUCGAACGGACUUCAGUCCGCAAGGACUGAAGUGAGUGGCGAACGGCUGAGUAACACGUAGGUGACCUGCCCCGAAGUUUGGGAUAACACCUCGAAAGAGGUGCUAAUACCGGAUGUGACCACCGAUUCAUUUCGGUGCUUAAAGUCGCAAGACGCUUUGGGAGGGGCCUGCGGCGGAUUAGCUAGUUGGUGUGGAACGGCACACCAAGGCUUCGAUCCGUAGCUGGUCUGAGAGGAUGGCCAGCCAGACUGGGACUGAGACACGGCCCAGACUCCUACGGGAGGCAGCAGUGGGGAAUCUUGCGCAAUGGGCGAAAGCCUGACGCAGCGACGCCGCGUGAGGGAUGACGGCCUCGGUU